UUUGAAAGGACCAACACUGCAUUAUUUGAUUGUACUAAACGCACUACUAAUUGUACAUUUUACCAAGGACGAACACUGCAUCUUUGUAUUGUACUAAUGGUAGUACUAAUUGUACAUACAAAAAAAAACACGCUUUCUCUAGAACUUUCUUCCUACAUCUGCCAAAAUUCUAACCCUAAUUUCUCGCCUCCUUCCUAAAGUCGCAGCAUUCUCUCAACUCUGCCUUCUACUUCGCACCUCUUCAAUGGCGAAUCCAUCUGCUCCUUAGUUUUUCCUCUUUGUCUGCGCACUUUAACUCUCUCUCUGGAGCUUUGCUGAACAUCUCUGCUUGUUUCCGACGCGCCGCGCAACUACUUGUUCAUCGUUUAACUUUCUAUCCUCCUAGUUAUAAUCUGUCUCUGAACCUUUGCUUACGAUUUCGGUUUCUUUCCAACGACCUGCACAGAUUGCCUCCUACUGAACCAGACAAAUACCAGUGAUACACAACAGCCUGCUGGGUUUGCACCAGCCUCUUCAUUAUCACCGCCUUAGAAAGCUUCGUUCAAAUGCUGGCCCAAACCAUAUAUGCAUGCUAGCCACUCCAGCAGAUUGACAGACAUCCCUGCUGUGGUCACAGGUACCUUUUUUCC